GGGGGUGGGGGAAGAGGCGAGGGUAUGUAUCAAUUUGUACAGUCCUCAGUUGGCACCCCUGUUUUUUCCCCCUGCAACGAAUAACCGGAGCUUUCUUCUGCGUUAUUGUUAUGAUCGGUGCGCUCUGCAACAUGAGCCAGCCUGCGCUGACAGACGCCCGGGCUGUGGGGCGUGCGCGUCAGCGUGCAACAUAAAACGACAAAACAGGGAGAGGAAGGAGAAAGCGGAGUGAGAAUGGGAGAACGCAUCGCUGGAUAUCAUAGGUUUUGCUAGGUCUCACGGUGCAACACAACCCAAUCAGAAAUGGAACCAGUUCAACCUUUGCAAGGCCUCGUGUUGUAAAAUGGACGUUAUAAAGAAGACAUAAUGAAAACAAGGACGCACAAAGAAUCGAUGCCCAUGCGUAGUGGCAGAAGGAGGGGGGCAAGUGAAGAGAGAAGGGGCAGACGGCCGCACCCCAGCCCCACUCGUCCUGAACGCAACGACAGGCAGACGCAACGAGGCUCUGGUGAGGAAUUGGCUGGAAAUCGCUUCAGUCGCAGAUCACAAGGGCAUGAUUCAUCAGAGAGUGAGGGGGAGGAACUUGUAUCGCCUCCAAAAAGGCAGAAAGUUCAGGACUCAGCUUGUACCCCAAACCCUCCAACAUCAACACACUCGACUGAAAGCUCAACUCCUUCCACAGUUCCACCUCCAACCACUGUUGUCAGCCAAUCUCGUGAGAGUGACAAUGAGGACGGCCAGUCACAGGGCAGCAGGAGUUCAGUUGUGGGGAGCCUUGCCAAUAGUAGUAGUAGUCUGAGCAGUGGGCGGGAUAUAGACCAAGACAAUCGUUCCUCAUCUCCAAGCCUUUCGGCCUCCCCUCUGGGAAGUCUAGACUCUGAUUCUGAUGGCCCAGACUCACCAAAGCAAGGAGAACGUGAGAAAACUAAAGAAGGGGGUGCAAGGAAAGUCACAGGAGAAGACAGGAGAGCUGUCCGUGAAGGGAGGGGGGAGGAAUCCUGUGGAGAUGGAGAGAAACGAGACGUGGAAGGAGCAGAGGACUGCCCAUCUUUAAAGCCCCCCUCCACUCCCUGCUCUUCGACUGGCUUGACUCAGUCUCUCCGCGGAACAGGAGAUUCGUCAAAUGACAGCAAUAGUGGGAGGAAGUCAUAUUUUUCCCUGGACUCCAAACUGAUGUGUAAAGUUGAGUAUGGCACCCCAACGAGUGUUGAAGGAGCCUUAAGUGGGAACAGAAUGACUUCCAAAGCCAGCUCACAGUGUGUCACAAAGACAACUAUCUCUGGAGGAGAGUUUUCCCACAGUAGCCCCAACAUGUCACACUCGUUACCAAUGCCACUUCCUCCUCCACCUGCCCUAAAACCAUUAGAGCCUGGAGGACAAAACUUGCCUGCUGAGGUUAAGACGGAGCGAGACAAAACAGAGAAGGGAGACAAAAUUCUGGAGAAAACUCAGUCCACGCCUCCUUCUCUGGUGCCACAGACUCCCCCCCAGCCCCAGUCUCAGCCUCAGACACAGCCCUCCAGCCAUCCUCAUCACUACAGCUCCACCAGCUGGCAGGGGGGCACAGCUACUGGUUGCCAGGUCAGCUGGGGUUACACUCGUUACCCUGGCAACCAUCACUCUCACCAGCCUCCUGUUCAACAGCAACAACUUCCUUCCGUUUACAACCCUCCAUCCUCUCGCCAUUCCUCCUCCCACCCCUCUUACCUCCCCCAUUCUCACCCCCACCCCCACAGGGAGUACCUUCCCAGGUACACUGGAGGGGGAGGCGAUAGAGAUAGGGGGGCUGCAGGAGAGAGGGAGCGGGGAGUGAGAGGAGAGUGUGGUGGGAGAGAGAUCAGUAGGGAGUACCCUGUUCCCACUGCAAACAGCAACAACAAUAGCAGCAGUAAUAUUAAUAGUACUUGUGGUGCGAUGGGUGGGCCCAACAGUAUCCAAAACAGGGAGUUUGGGGUCAUGAGUCAGAGCCGUGAGUACCAAGGAUCUGGGAGAGAUGGACCUAACAUUGGUCCAGAAAGGAGAGACUUUGGUCCAGCUUUCAGAGACAGGGAUCGUGAAAGAGACAGAGAACGUGAAACAGGAAAGGAUUUUAAUACACCAAACCAAAACCAAAAUAGAGAUUUUGGCCCUGGUGGAGCUGCAGGGGGGCAUCCCAGAGACAAAGAUGGGAGCAGAUGGGGUGAGUUUCCUGGUCAAACAAGAGAAGUUAGCAACAGCAACCCCAGCAAUUCCAUCUCACAAGGAAACCCCCCAAGCUCAACUGCUGGGCUGCCAGUAGCCCCCAUGCUGAACCGUGAUCCACCUGUCUCUCCUCAAAACAAUGCAAAUCACCCAUCCCAAACAUCCCUUCCUUCACACCAUAACUCUCAUCCUUCAAACUCAUCAAACAGAGACUUUCCUCCUUCUAUAGACCAGGCACAAACUCCAUCCUCUGGUGGAGAUCACUUUCACAGAGAGUAUCCUCCUUCUGGAGCAAAAGACUUUCCUGCUGGUGUGCCUCCUCCUGCUGGCACAAAUCGUGAGUACUUAAGCUCCCCGGGGGUAACUUCAAAUGUGGGUCGAGAGUAUUCAGGGCCCGGUGGAGCCCAGUAUCCUCACCCACCUUACCCUCAUUACCAGUCUGGGCCAAAAGACAGGGAGAGGGACUCAAACUUGCGAGACUCUAGUAUGUACCAAAGCCGUGGAGGCCCAAAUCAGCCUUCUGCACUCUCUCCUUCCUCCUCUAGCACUCACCAUGGGCCAUACCCCCAUCAACCAACUCUGGCUCCUCUACCCCCUCCGCAAAACUCACACACUCAACCUCCUCCAGUAGGUAUGGCUGCUGGUGUCCGCCCCCCACAUUAUCAAUCCUCUACCCAGACUCCUCCGAAACCCCUAUCACCCUUGCCCAGUCCAUCCACCAAUCAGAUAGGACCAUUUUCAUCUUUUCCCUCUGGCCCCUCUUCUGUUCCUAAUGCGCAACUUCCUGUGGCGCCUGCACCAACCAGCUGUUCACCUGGUUGCCGUCCUUCCCCUUUCCAUGGCGCUUUGAACAGCCGCCCUCAAUUCAGUGGAACAUAUCACUCUAAUGGGAGCAAUGCUGGUCAUAUGGCAAACAGUGGUAGCAACAGUAGCACACCCAGUAGCAGUAAUACCAACUCUCAGUCACUCUCACCUCAAAAUAUCUCUAAGGGCCCUCCACCUCUAGGUAACUCUACCAACAAUAACAACAUUUCAGCGCCCGUCACAAGCUCUGUACUCCCAAGUGGAGAUGGGCAUUCAGAUUCAGGCCCACCUCCAACACCCGUCAUUAAAGAAGAACCAAUUGAAGAAAGGGAAGAGAAUGAAAGCCCACCACCAGUGUUGAGAAGUCCCUCACCAGAACCAAAACCUGUGGACAUUCCUAUCCACGCCAGCCAGUCAGCACGGUUUCACAAGGUCCUAGAUCGUGGCAGUGGGAACUCCUGUGCACGCAGCGAUGUUGUCUUUGUUCCACUAGACGGAUCCAAACUGUGGAAGAAACGGAAUGAGAUGAUUGAAAGAGCUCGCAGAGAGGUGGAACAGCGAGCAAGAGACCUAAGAGAAAAAGAAAGAGAACGAGAAAGAGAGCGUGAACGUGAGAGGGAACUGGAUCGUCAUCUGCAGCACCAGAAGGACAUCAGUGCUGCUGGAGGGGGUCGCCAGGGCUCCACACUUUUUUUCCCUCCCUCAUCCUCUAUUAUUCUUGACCCUUCUUCUGCCUCAUCCAGCAACCCUGUCCCCCACCCUCCUCAUCCCCAGCAUCAUCCUUCACAUCCACAUGCUCACCUUGCUCCAGCACACCAUCUCCAUCCAUCUCUCUCUCAUUCAAUACCCCACUCCUUGCUUUUACCAUCCAUGGGUGGUGCAUCUGCUGUAGUUGGAGGUCCCCAGGGAGGCCUGGGAAUAGGUUUGGGAGGUCCAUAUUUGGGUCCUGACACACCAGCAUUAAGAACUCUGAGCGAAUAUGCUCGCCCACAUGCUAUGUCUCCACUUGGGGCCGCAAGUCGCGCCCAAGCACACCACCCACAGGUUCAUCAUGGGCACCCCCACGUCCACCCCUCAUUCUUCCUCCCUCAGUUUCAGAAUCAUGCUUUUGCCCAUCCACACCACCUUCCUGCUGAUGCAGCCACAGCAGCGGCUAUUUUGGGGUUUUUGUAUGGUGGUAGUCUAGAAAAUGGUCCAGGCAUUGGUGGCCAUCCUGGAAUGGCAGGAGGUCCGGUACCUGGUGGGAUUGGAGGUCCAGGAUUAGGAGGAGUUGGUUUCCCUCACUCAGUGGCCUCUCAUCGAGAUCGGAUGAAACCUGGAUUUGAAUUCAAGAGUGACGAGCGGGUUUACCCACCUGGAUCCAUUCCUGAUCCUGCAGCCAUUGCUCUUGCUCACUCUCAUUCCCAUGCCCAUGCAAAUGCCCAUGCGCAAGCUCACUCCUUGCUGCUUGGAGCUGGUCCGGCAGGAGCAAAUGAGGUGUCACUCUAUGGUACUCCUCCUCCAGCUGCCCCUGGACCUCCACACCUCCAAAACCCAGCCCUGGCACCAGUAACUCGACCUCCUAACCCUCCGGCUCCUCAGUCUCUGGCCAAUCCCCCUGCUACAUCUCUACUUCCACCAUCUCUUACCUCCCACCCUUUAUCUGCUCCACCUGCUGCCUCUCAAGCGCCACCAUCCACCACUGCUCCUCCAUCCGCUCCUUCCCAGCCUGCUCCACCAACAUCUAAUGCUGCCUCGCUUCAUCACCCAGUCCCCCAUUCUUCUUUUCCCUCCUCUCAUCUGCCACCAGCCUCUGCGCCCACUGCUCCUGCCGAGAACUAUCCCACUCCCACCCGCUCCCCUGCUUCCUUUGAGCGUGACCGGAGUGGAGAAAGAGAAAGGGAAAAGGAACGAGACCGAGCAGCUUUACCGACCUUUGGGGAGAGGGAGCGUGAAAGGGGAGGAAGCAGCGGGGGUGGAGGAGGGGGAGCCAGUGGAGGAGGAGGAAAUGGAGGAGGAGGAGGAGGAGGAAGUGGCGGAGGAGGAGAGAAUCUCGGUCGUCUUCAGAUGCUGAACGUGACACCUCAUCAUCACCAGCAUUCACACAUCCACUCACAUCUUCAUCUGCACCAGCAAGACACAGCAUUGGCAUCUAGCGGCGGGCGGGGUUCACCCCCUAAUGGACCCGUUGGCGUCAGGGUCUCCUUUGGCACGCCUCCCUUACCCAGGAGCCACAAUCGGCACCCCCAUCCUGGCUCACCCCCUCACUGACAGCGAUGUGCUCCGCCAACAGCUGUUCGGUGAGGAGAAGGCUCCUCGUCCAUGUGCUCCUUUCCGUGACCUGCCACAGCCGUCCUCCCUCACUGGUCCCAUGUCGGCAGCCCAUCAGCUCCAGGCCAUGCAGCAGGCCCAGAGCGCAGAGCUGCAGAUCCAGAGACUGGCCCUGGAGCAACAGUGGAUCCACCAUCACCACCACUCCCUCACCCAGGACGAGUAUUACAGUCACCUGAAGAAGGAGAGUGACAAGACCUUGUGAGGGAGGGGCACGACAGGAAGCAGCAUGGAGAAAAGGGACAAAUACUACAACGAAAGCACUGAAAACGAGGAAACAAAGACUUAUUUACAAGAUGUGGACUUCUUAUGGACAAGGAAUUUACUGAGGAAGAUUUUGAAGGAUUAUUGGAGGAAGGAGGAGGGUGUGAAAAUGUUGCACAGAGUCCCUCCUAACGGCUCCAGCGCUUUUCCUGCGUUUUGUUCUUCGGUCCUCUUUUUUUUUUUUUGGUUUUUCGCUCUGUACAGAAUAUUAGCUGGAGGCGACGAUAGUGAAGUACAGUACGUGUAAAAUACUUGAUGCCAGAAGACUGUGUACAUGAGUCUCUUAUGUGGUUGCAUGUAGCUUUAUGCGCUUAUUCUAAACUGGUGGAACUUUUGGUUCUGUUUUUUAGUCAUUUCCCCCUCAUUUGUAUCUGAGGGCUGCUCUAUAUGCAUGAGACCAGCAUUUUAGUGUUUUGUUAUGUUUAUGAUUAAUAGUAUUGUUAUUAAGAUUAUUGUUGUUUGUUGAUAAUGAAUAAUUAUAUAUACAACACAUAUUAUUUGUAUUAUUUUUUUACAUUUUCAUGGUAUGGCAGUUGGUUUUUAUUUUUGAUUUUCAAUUUUCCUUGUGUAACAAGAUGCAAAUGAGGGCAAAAAAAACAAAAAAAAAACAUCUGGAAAUAAAUUAUAAUCUCUUUUUUGGUAA